CACUGCUAUGUUAAGUAUAAUGAUGUAUUCUUUCCCCUUGGAAAUAACACCAAGCCAAGCACUAUACUCUCCUCACAUUCGUUACUUACGUUACUUUCAGCACACAUGGGGUCGGAUGGACCCUUUCAUACUUGCUUGAUAAUGGCUGGUGGGGGAAUAAGCAGAGGAAAACGGCAAGUGAAGCCGUCAAAUGUUGAGAAACGGACAGUACCGCUUCCCAUUUAGCUGGAGAUUCGUUUCGCCACCGGGACAGGCUGAGUCCAAGUGCCUCCAAUGUUUAAGGAUGUUGCUGUAUACAGUAAAAUCAUUUGCUAUUGAGUUAGGAUCACACAUGCCAAGCACCUGCAUCCUGCAGUAGAGGGAAUAUCACACAAAGCAACGCGGGAAGCUUCCGCACCAAACCCACCAUUCAUUGCAGGGCUCAUCAAGAGAGCUUCACGUUUUCCCUUUCCCUGUGCGAGGAAAACUAUUUCAGGUAACCUAACUGCAAGCAAUUUUUAUACACCAGACAGCACUUACACAGCUUAUAUAUUUAACGAGACCAGCAAGAAGCUCAUGGUAUUCUUAAGAGUUAUUUUUGCUCAGAACAGCUCAUAACAAAGCGUGAGAGAGGCACGUCUGGCAUGGAGACGCUUUCGUGCAGCUCCGUCCAGGAGGCACGCGUUUUACGGGACAAGUUCAAGUGCAGCCCGAGAUGUUCCAGUGACAGAGCACCAGGGUCUCAGACAUAAAGCGCUGAACGUUGCUUUGGGCCCCGGGCUGCUCGGGUGAAGCCCUUUGAUUUCAUCUGAAGCAUUCAGAGAAAAAGCCCUGGUGGUAUCGGCUUCCCAUUUCGCAGCGCUCUUUUUCCGAAGCAGCUGAGUGUGCUGGAGAGACAGACUCGCAGCGCAGAAACACAUGGGGCACGCCCUCUGGGAUUUUUCCGUUUCCUCUACAUUAAUGAAGAUUAAAGUGUAAGAAAGGGCAGUCAUCAGUGGAACGGAUAAUUAAUGAUGAUUGAUGAUUUACUUUUAAUUUAAGCCCCACCAUUAAUUCAGAUGAACACAAAUACAAGAUCACUACUCAACACAUGUUAAGCUCGCCUCCUGAUUCACUUGGAUGUGAUGGAUAGCUUUGAAUGAGAGCACCUGAGCGUGCUGAAAAGGGCUUAAUUAAAACCAGCAAAAUCACCAAUGCCUGUUCCUUAGGUGAAUUCUUUACCACUGGUGCAAUCUGAGAAGCCCUGAAGAAGCCUGGAGAGGCUGCACACACUCAGAGACAGCAGGGGGUAUGGCAUAUCCAGUUUAAGGAUGGUUGGUUAUACUUGGCACCAAGGAGCAAGUAAGAUUUCUCUAAGCUAUAAGCAGAGACCCUGAGGCUCCUGUUGCCUGGUGCCCAGCCUGCCUUGUUUGGCCUAGGACCUGAUAAAUUGUCCUCAGAAUGCUGUAGAAUUGAUCUACUUUCAGAGUUUCAGAUCUCCUUAAGGUCUGUGAGCAUUGACCGAAGAGAGAUGGAGCCUUCAACAGUGUAGAGAAAGAGCUGGAAAGGCUCUUUGUAACUGUGUAAUGAUUGACUUAAACUUAACUCUUUCUUUACAAGGUUCAGAAUAAUUUCUCAUUACCAUUUAUGCUAACAGACCAUGAUAAGGACAUGGAGAUAUCUAAGUCCACUGAUUCACUGCAGAGAAAGGGGUAUUGGACAGUGCUCCAGAAGGAGUACCAUGUGUAUUUAAACUGUAAUCGGAGACAUCUAUUUUCAACCUCAACCACAAUCUGUGAGUACAUUUUAAAGUCCCCUUUUGGGGCAGAGAAACUGAACAGACUUUUUUUUCCAGAAAAGAAAGAGAUUGUCAACAAGCAUAUGAAGAGAUGCUCCAUAUAACUCAUCAUUAGGGAAAUGCAAAUCAAAAACCACCAGGAGAUAUCAUCUCACUUCUGUCAGAAUGGCUAUCACCAAAAAGACAAGAGAUAGCAUGUGCUGGUGAGGGUAUGGAGGAAAGGGAAUCCUCAUGUAUUAUAGUGGAAAUGUAAACUGGUGCAACCACUACAGAAAACAAAAUAGAGGUUUCUCAAAAUAUUAAAAAUAUAACUAUCGUAUGAUCCAGCAUUUCUAUUUCUGGGUAUUUAUCUGAAAGAAAUGAAAUAAUCAUCUCAAAGUAAGAUCUGCAUCCUCUUGUUUGUUGCAGCAUUGUUUAUGACAGCCAAGACAUGGAAAUAACCUAAGUGCCCUUCAAUGGAUUAAAGAAAAUAUUAUAUAAAUGUCUCCAUACUGGAAUGUUAUUCAGCCAUAAAAAGGAAAUUCUUCCAUUUGCAAAUACAUCAAUGAAACUUGGGUGCAUUACUCUAAAUGAUACAAACCAAAUGGAAAAAGACAAAUACCAAAUUCAUUAUAUUCUCACUUAUAUGUGGAAUCUAAAAAACCAAGCUCAUGAAUACAGAUCACUGGUUGCCAGAGUUAGGAGAUAAGAAGGUGGACAAAAUGGAUGAAGGCAGUCAAAAGGCACAAACUUUCAGGUAUAAAACAAAGGUUAAGGGACUGUGAUGUACAGCUGGGUGACUAAAGUUCAUAAUACUGUAUAGAAGAUCUUAAAAGUUCUCAUCAUAAGAAAAUAAAACUUUAUCAUUAGGUGUUGGGUGUUAACUAACCUUAUGUGGUCAUCGUUUUUCAAUAUAAACAUAUCAAAUCAUGAUGUACACCUGAAACUAACACAUUGUAUAUGUUAAUUACAUGUCUCAAUAAAUCUAAGGAAAAUAGUCCCUUUUUACCAUUUCUGUAGGGACAGAACAUGAGAGGCAGAAAACAGAAAAUAAAGAAAAAGAAACAGAGAGCAGAUGGGUCAUUCCUGGC